rnacentral:lncRNA from 1 species
GAUGUUUAUAAUUUACAGUAGUCAUUAUGUAUGGUUAUCUUGUACCAUACAUGUCAUUUAGAUGUUUAUAAUUUACAAACAAACAUUUUAUUUAUGUAGUUCUCUAAAUCAAUAUAUAGUAGACAAACCAGUUUAAAACCUAUAAGUUUACCAAAUGGUUUAGUAAGUAAAUGUUAAGCGCAGUUGGAUUAAGUGAAGAGGACAGCAGAGAGCCUGGAGAAAAGCCUGGAGCUCGGGAGAGAACUAGGAAAGACGGUCUGAUCCACGAGGGCCAGUGCUGUAGAAAGAGACAAAGACGUGUGGAGCAGCCCAUGAAGAGGAUGGUGAAUGAGAUCAGAGAGGGGGGUUGGGAAGCUCAGACGGAUGACCAGUUUAGGAAGAUCUUCAUGGAAUCCAAGGGGGACAUCCGGAAGAUGAUGGCCGGAGCUGAGUUUGACCGUGAGAAGGAGAUCACCACCAAGAACAUCAUGGAGUCGGAGCGGGAUGAGUCUGACAGAGCGGAGUGGAACGUAGAGCUGGGUGGGGGCGUGGGCGGACCGGGAUCCUGGUGGUUAAGGGGCUGGGGCCGUAGCUGAGGGGUGAUCGGACUCAAGGGGCGUGGCCUGGGUGGUAGAUAGACAUGGCCCCUCCCUCCAUCGAGGUCCCUCCUUCCUGUGUUGCAUGGCAACAAACUCUCCUCCCCCCAUCCAUCUCCCCCUGGGCUAAGGAGGAACUGAGGACUACUGCUGAGAGUGGAACAGGGGCUUUAAUGCAGGUAAAGGGAGUUAGUAAGAGACUUGCUGGUUCGUACCUAUUGAAGAAGUGUACACUGCUUUGACAUAAGCUAAAAUACAUUUUGGGGCGAUAUGUCAGAUGCGUCGGUUGUUGUUGUUGUUUCAGUCUGCUAGCUCAGAAGACAGAGGAUCUCGCAGGCAAGCUGUAGGAAGCGUUCAGUAAAAGAAGAAGAGAGGGGUGAAGGAAGCAGAGGAUGAGGCAAAAUAGUCUCAGGGACAGGAAGCAGACGGUGAGGUAAAAGAGUCUCAGGGACAGGAAGCAGAGGGUGAGGUAAAAGAGUCUCAGGGACAGGAAACAAAGGGUGAGGCAAAAGAGUCUCAGGGACAGGAAGCAGAAGGUGAGGUAAAAAAGUAUCAGGGACAGGAAGCAGAGGGUGAGGUAAAAGAGUCUCAGGGACAGGAAGCAGAGGGUGAGGUAAAAGAGUCUCAGGGACAGGAAGCAGAGGGCGAGGUAAAAGAGUCUCGGAGACAGGAAGCAGAGGAUGAGGUAAAAUAGUCUCUGGGACAGGAAGCAGAUGGUGAGGUAAAAUAGUCUCUGGGACUGGAAGCAGACGGUGAGGUAAAAGAGUCUCAGGGACAAGAAGCAGAGUGUGAGGUAAAAGAGUAUCAGGGACAGGAAACAAAGGGUGAGGUAAAAAAGUAUCAGGGACAGGAAGCAGAGGGUGAGGUAAAAUAGUCUCUGGGACAGGAAGCAGAGGGUGAGGUAAAAGAGUCUCAGGGACAGGAAGCAGAGGGUGAGGUAAAAGAGUAUCAGGGACAGGAAACAAAGGGUGAGGCAAAAGAGUCCCAGGAACAGGAACAGGAAGCAGAGGGUGAGGUAAAAAAGUAUCAGGGACAGGAAGCAGAGGGUGAGGUAAAAGAGUCUCAGGGACAGGAAGCAGAGGGUGAAGUAAAAGAGUAUCAGGGACUGGAAGCAGAGGGUGAGGUAAAAGAGUCUCAGGGACAGGAAGCAGAGGGUGAGGUAAAAUAGUCUCAGGGACAGGAAGAAAUAAAAGAGGAGAUGAAGGAAGAAUGAAAAUACUGAGAUUCAGGCAGCAAAGAAGAAGGAAAAUUGGAUUAGAAACAAGAGGGAAAUGUAGAGGAGGCAUUAGUCGUUGUGUGAUAUACUACAUAUACAAAAGUAUUUGGACACCCUUUCAAAUUAGUGGAUUCGGCUAUUUCAGACACACCUGUUGCUGACGUGUAUAAAAUCGAGCACACAGCCAUGCACUUUCCAUAGACAAACACUGGCAGUAGAAUGGCCCAUACUGAAGAGCUCAGUGACUUUCAACGUGGCACCGUUAUAGGAUGCCACCUUUCCAACAAGUCAG